CACUGAUCUCAUCAAGGCCAGGAUUGAACCCACAUCCUCACAGAGACAAUGUCGGGUCCUUAACCUGCUGAGCCACAAAGGGAACGCCCCAAUUUAAAUUUUUAAAUCACAUUGAGAAAGAAAUGUCAGAGGGACUAAACUUUAGAACUCUUACAAAGGACCAUAUCAUGCUUGAUUCUUACUGGUUCCUCACACAGCCCUCUAUCUGAAUCUAGAAACUUAUAUAUUGUCCCUGGCUGAGCUCCGAAUCAUUCUCACAAUUUAGGGAACAAGUGUUGCCAUAACUGAACUUCUGCAUUAUAUUAUGCCUGUCUGCUUAAGGCCAAAUAGAGAAAGUUUUCUUUUACUAUUUUUUCUUUCUUGCCAGGUCAAAUGACAGAGAUGAUGAAGAAACUCCCCUUAGGCUUAAUUCUAUUAUGCCUUGGAACAGAUAUGUCAAAAUAUCACUAAGGUUCUCUGACCUAAGUUUGAGAAAUGCUGCUCUACUAUGGCAAGAGUCCUUAAAAAAAAAAAAUCAGAGACAUUCUCUUUGGAUGCUACAUCUGAGAUGGGUAUGUAUAGAAAAGAACUACGGCGACUUGAUAGAGAAACACAGAUUCACAGGUUUAUCAGGUAGGUGGCAUGGAGAAAUGUAUGAAGAUGUGUAUCUGACCUUUUCUAUCAUCCCAGGGUCUAGAGUGUUGUCCAUUUUUAUUCCAUAGAUGGAGAAAAUGUGCAGAGAUUUAAGUGAUCACUUUUCCUUAAGAAAAAAAGGCAGUGUGAAAAAUUUUAUCAAAUACAAUCUGUUUAAUUUUAUUCUAUUACAGAAAAUAUAAGCUUUCCCUGGUGGUUCAUCAGAUCAUGGAUUUGGCAUUGUCACUGCUGUGGCUCGGAUCACUAGUUCAGUCCCUGGCUAGGAAAUUCCACGUGCCUCAAGUGUGACAAAACAGAAAAAAAAAAAAAGUAGUGUGUAUUAUCAAACGCUUCAGAAAAUUUGAGUAAGAUAAAAGCUAAAAAGAAGCUAUAGAAUCUGCAGUCAAUCAAGGGAGAGUAUCUAAGGCCUGGAUAGUCAGCAGUGAUCUGAAUCUUGAACUGCCUGUUGGCCAAUUUCUUUCUAAAUCCUCACUAGAUCAUUGAUGUUUGAAUACAUCAAGCUAAGAAACACACUGGCCACUUAUUUUAUAAAGGUAGUCCAUGAAUCAAGUUUAAGAUUGCCUGGUUUAACAGAAAGGGUGUGAUGGUUCCAUCACCUACUAAGUGUGGUAAAAGGUGAUAAUAACACCUAUUUUACUGGCUGUCAGAAAGAUUAGAGAUAAUGUAUGCAAUAUGCUGG
rnacentral:lncRNA from 9 species